UUCGCACCCGGCCCGACCCAUAGUAACAAAAUAUAAAAGCCUUUUCUAAUUAUUUUUCAUUUCCUCCCAGUUUUUUUUGCCCGCAUUUCUCUCCGCCGCUUCAAUUCUCUCUCUCGUCUCUUUCAAUUCUUCUCUCCGCCGCUUCAAUUCUUCGCCCAAGUCCACCGCUUCAAGUUCGUCUUCGAUUUCUCCGUUCACCGGUGUGGUUCCGUUCUUCGUUUCCGAUCAAGCAGCGGCGGCGGAAAUUCUGUAGUGAAGGAGUUAGGGCACGCCCUUGUUUUUGUUGCGCGGAGAGGAAAGACAGAGACAAAAAUGGAGUUUGGAUAGGGGCGGAGGAAUAAAAGGGUACCUCCAAGUUUUUGCCUUGGAGAAUUAACUUCACAGAAGAGAGAGGGCCAUCCCCACGACAUUUUGAUCCCAAACGAUCUCUAACCGCCAUUUCUGACAAGGAGCAUUUCGUGGGAGCCCAGAAAACUGGAUUUUUGUGAAGGAAAUGAAAGCGGGUGAGAAUUAUAGGAGCAGCUAAACGAUGAAGAAGAAGACGAAGUGGAGCAGGAAACAUGGUGCUGAUGAGUGAAGCUCUUCUGUAUAGUUGGAGCUGCCAGUAGCGUAGCCAUCUUUUUUCUUAAUACUUUGGGAUUUGAGUUUCUUUGAAUUUCACUCUUGAUGAUUGUUCUUGAUUCUUGAAGAUGAACAUGAAUGUUGUACAAACAGCCGUUUAGAGAGCCUUUAGUUAUUUAGUUA